rnacentral:lncRNA from 1 species
CGAUGUCGCCUCGACCCUCUAGACGGAAACGAAGCCUAAACGUCUGUUUCUUUAAUAACUUCGCAACGGCCUGACGAAUCGCCGAAACGACUUCGCCAACGCGUUCGUUUACCUAGCAAUUUGGUUUACAUAGGGUCAAAAUAGAUCAAACCCAUCUAUUAGCAAAAAUUACAUUUUGGAGCCCUAGGUUGUAACUAUGCAAAAAAUCAUCAUAUAGCUUCAUGAUUCAAGCAUUAAUCCUCUAUUUAGCAUCUAGGAGUUCCACUAAAUCCAUUCUUAGAGCAUAUAAUUAAGGCUCUAAAGAUCUACCAUGAGAGGGUUCAAGAAGCUCAUUUCAAGCCCUAGGUUUACAACUAGGCAAGAAAUCACUAAAUUGGUCCAUGAUUUGAGCAACAAUC